GUGCUGGUGAGACCAUCACUGAUAUCCAGAGCUCCCCAGGAAGCAGCCCCUCACACAAGGCCCAGCUCCCUUCCAGAGGGUCAGCCAUGCCCCUGGAGGUCUGGAUCCUGCGCUCUGCACUCAGCCUGCUCCUGCUGCUGUCUGCCCCCAUCAUCACCCUCCUCCUGGAAAGAUGCAGCCACAGAGCCCACGAGGCCAGGCAGCCUGGAGACGUCCCUGUCCCCAUGGAGCUCUGAUGUCCCCCUGAGCUCCAUGCUGUCCCCAGCCUGCUCCCCCAUGCUCAGAGCACGACCCCCACCGUGGCCAGGCUCCCGCUGCCAUUGGGUUCAAGGCAGCUGUGACAGCAUGCCCAAGGGAUGUGCUGCCACUGCUCUGCUUCCCUUGGCUCAGCGCCUGCUCUCUGCUCCCAUCAAGGAUUACCACUGGAUCGCAGACCCUCCCAGCUGGGUUCAACCCCAGCACCCACAUGGCUGCCCUGCCUGCUCACAGAAUUACAUCUACAUCACAGGAUCCAUCUCUGCAUACCGGGAAAACACGAAGGGAUGGAGUCACAGCUGCAUCCCCAGGCAGCCAUGCUCUGCAGCUCCUGCAUCACUCCAGCACCUCCCUGUGCCCAAGGUGGUGCUGGCCGCGAUGGGCACAUCCCCAAGUGAUUACAGUGCCCCCUCUCAAGGCACCUUGGUGGGUAUUGGUCCUGUGGGAGGCGAGUUAUAAAGGAUUGGUUUAGAAUGCACCAGCUGAUGUUGCUGCUCUGUAUUUGAGAGGGAAGCCAGAGAGCAGAGCUGGGAGAGCUGCUCUAUGACUGCCAUAUGGGGCCAUGUGUCCUGCGAGGGAGCUGCUGUUCCCUUUGCCCUGCCACCCAAGAGUUCUCCUACCUACUGGCAUUACCCUGGCAGAUGUGUCAUGGAAAACUGCCUGAGAUCUGAGGAUGGCUGAGGCCAUGUAGAGGUCCAGGAGGUGGCCAUGCCUGGCACUCUGCACCCCAUGCCCACCCAUCCCUGUGCUGGAUCUUCUGUCUCUCAAUGCGCCAUCUCUAGGAGACAGCCCUGAGCAGGGACAUUGUACAUGGGGGCAUCCAGCUGUGGGCCAGGUGAGGAUGGGGUCUCAGCAUGGCUGGCCCCCACACCCACAGACCAUCCACAGCCUUGCACUAUGGGCUUUUAGCCAUCCCACACCAAUACCAAGAAGGAGACAAGGUGUCCCUUCUCUGCAGCUCCCAGUGCUGACAUCUGGGGCCUUGGUGUGCAGUGGGGGACUCUGGAAUAAGAUGGG